CAGAUUAUAUAGACAUGCAUGAUCCAUUUUCCGAGACGGGUGGGAUUGCUGGUACUGGAAGCGGGUGAGGAAGACAUGGCUCGGUUUGAAGUGUCACCGCGUACUGUUGGUUGGACCUUUCCUUAAAAAACUCAGCAUUAUCUCCAAUUUGUUUACAAAGUUAUAGGUACAUUCUCCUAUCCAUAGUGGUCCAAUAUUGUUUCAAUGUUUAGGCUUUAGAUUUUGUGUCCUUGCCAUCAGCUAACUUGAUGUUCUGCCACUGUCAUUGUCGAUGAAUGACUGGCGGGUAAUUCUGCGGCGCGAAGGCAAGCCUAAACAUGUGGCGGGUUCAGUUUUUUUCAACUUUGGAGUUCAAUCUGUUCCAGAUUUGGGUCCUCACCGGCUCAUUCGAAAACGACCUCAACAUCAUCGAAGCCAGGAGGCAGGUACUACACAACUGGCACAAGUAUAUUCUGAAAAUUGUUUUUUAUCCAUCUUAUAUGAGUAAAUUUUGUUAUCAUGGGACACAUGCAAGUCUAGCAGUAUAGUUGAUUAGUGUUGUGAACUAUCUUCUAGCUUCUUGUUAUAGUCGAUUUGUGUGUUUGGUGCUGCACUGCAGAUGGUUUGUUUUGACCAGUCAUGUUUUUCAUAUAUCACAAAAUGUAAAUUUCAUUGUUAUCUGAAUGCAUUACUAGUGAGAUUGAUUGUUACUAAAUGAUCCCUUGUUUCUGUUAGAGUUAACCUUGUUGUAUAGGUCUAGGUCAUGUUUAUUUUGUAUUGCAUGGCAUCGUUGCGGUAGGAUUGCAUUAGUAGUGAGCUAAAAAAACCUCGAGUUUUCCCCGACAUAACCCUCAGCCCCCCCCCCUCUCCUUCCUCUCUCCCGACACCGGUGACGCCCCCGACCCCGCCGGCAACACCCCAUGGUCCCCCUCCCCCUCCCCCGCCGCCAACACUUCCUUUCUUUUACAAAACAUCCCUUCUUUUUUUAGCUCGAUUACAAAUCUCACACAGUUUGCCUCUAUCAGUUGUGUAUAUGACCAAAAGCGUGUCACCUACCCAACUGGCUGUGGCCAGCAAAAUGAGCAAUGAGGUCAGCUUACUUUUAAUUACAAAAUAAGUAGAUGCUUGCUUGCGGGUUUACUUAGUACUUCCAGUUGUGAUGCCAUCAACCUUUGCUGCCCUUUGCAACUGCAUUAGAUCUAUUUGUGGUUGCAAUGGUUGUUGUGGCAUACAGAGUUAAUAAGAAUCAUAUGAUAGAUCCCACGGUACAUCACCUUCAGUUCUCUACUUGUGUCUUGUGCUCUUCUCUUAAUCCAAAUUCUUUAAGCCUAUAUACGCCCAGAUAAGUACCUGAUAACCUUUAGUUGACUUAUUCUCACUCUUGACUAUUUGAACUACUGUAGAAGGACUCAGUUUUUCAAAGUUACUAGGCUUGUAGAUAUGCUUGAUCAUGUGGGUUAUAAUGUAAUCGAGUGCAGUGUGCAGGACAACAACCAAGAGCAAUCUAUUUAUCAUUCUAAAACAAUACCACUUACACCAAACGUCAGCAUAGUAUCAUGUUCAUGUCAGAAUAUAAGAGGUUUUGGAACUGAGGGAGUAGAUGGUGAUUAUGGACAUCAGAGAGGAAUAAAAUUGAUCACAUAUAGUAAUAUAGGGACUUUUGUCGAUGCAUGCUACCUGCACAAGCACAUCCCUAUAUGGAUAAAAUCCACUUUAAUAGAGUACCGAUAUGAAUAGGAUAGUGCGGUGCAAGACGGUGCUGGGCGAGGUGGCAAGAGGCGAUGACGACGGAUGAUACAAUGGUCAGUAGAUAAAAGGUAAGUGCCACCGCCGUUUGGUCCCUCUCCUCUCCUCCUUGCUUCUGCUUCUUUCUACAUUCAUGUUUCCUUUGCUUGCCUCGUCCGAUGUUGUUCAUCUCCAUUGCCUAAUGGGGGCCUCUUUGGGGGCUAAUCUAAGAUCAGGCAGCACAGGAGGAGAGACGGCUCUCACGGAUUAGGAUGUUGCACAUCAGGUGAACCAUUUGAUGGGCUGUUCAACAUGCUGAUCUUAUUGAUUUGUUCUUGACAUAUCCUUUGUGCUGCUGUAUUUUUUGAAUUAGUUGGUGGUUUAUAUUAGAAGUACUAACAUUCUGUCACUUUUGAGCCAUUGGUACUAUAUGUAAUUAGUAUGAACUAAAACUGCUGCUUCUGUGUUCAUAUAAGGCUCUUAAUAUCUAUGAUGUCACUAUUUUCCUUUUAAGGCUGAUCUAUUUCUUGAAUGUGUUGCAUACCUGUGGCUUAUUAUAUUUUGAGUCUAAAGCAAUAACACUACAUAGUAUAAACAGGUGAGUGAUAGGGGCGCCUCCCACCUGGCACCGCCUAACUUCCUCUCAAGCGGCGCCACCAGGUGGCGCCCCAAACACUAGUGUACAUCAGGCUGUAGCCAGCUGCACUAUAAUAGGCCUAUUGUCAAAACUGAUACUUUUUGUAUAUUAGUCCCACAUCACUCCUUUAAAUCAAAUCCCAUCAAUUUAUAUACACAAGUGAGUUGAACUAGAAUCAACCAGUCAAAAGAGUCCCAUUAAGUCAAACUCAAAAGGAGAGAAGAGACCACAUAAAGGCAGGGAGUUGGGGAAGGGACAUGCACGUCUGGUUGGCUGGCACUAAAAAUUGAGGGGAGAGGCGGU
rnacentral:lncRNA from 1 species